GGGUGUCAUUUAAAACGCUUUUAAUUUAAACUCAGUCGCCGGUUUAGCCGUUCACGGAUAAACAUGGGGCGGUUACUACGCUUCACGAGACAGCCAUGGCCACCCACACACACACACACACGGUAAAAUACUACCACAAUAGCUCACCACCACCGCUGGUCGUGUACGGCUGUUGUACACUAAUGCCGCGUGGCUAUAUCUAGGUUUACGUGGAGCUCUGCAUGAAUAGAAGCCACUGAUGCAGCCACAGACUUGCUCGAUUUUCGUGAGAACACAAAUAGUAUAUAAUUGUUUUGGGAAAAAGCAAAAGCCGAUUAAUUUAACUCGGCGCCGCUAAAAGAACGGCUAGCAUAGGGAAGAGUCAGCUGGGUUCUAGACUAUUCGGGCUUCCCGAAGGUUAAGUGAGGCCUAGUAAAAGUUUAAAGUUUUUAGAGAUUGUUAUAUGAUGUGUCCAAUAAUAUUGAAUAAUGAUAAUAUCUAAG
rnacentral:lncRNA from 1 species